UCAAUUAAGAAGCAAAACACAAGAACCUGCCUAAUACCUGCAUGCUCAGAUAGAAACACUUAUCGGGUACAUGUAUGUCCCUCUGAAAAGGUUAAUCCACUAGAGACACUGGAUAUGAUGAAAUGUGAAGCAAUUUGGUACACAAAGGAACACUCGAUAUCAUGAAUAUGUUAUUGUCAGUUAUUGUUAUUUAUUGGCUUUCAAAUGCACAGAAUAGGCUUGUGAGAUUAACAUGGACAUCAAUGGAAUAUCAAUCAGGGAAUAGCAUGUCAUACUGUCAUCAUAUUGAUAACUAUAUAAAAUAGAAAACAAUCAACAUGAAAACCAGCAGGGCAUGACUACAUUCUACAGGGAUCACAUUUGUUAGUCUUAACUGUUGUUAGCCAUUGGGAGAUAAAUGUCCACUGACAUUUUAGAAACAAGGCAUGAAAUAAACAUGAUCAGAUAAAUAUUUUGCAAGGGAAUAGUAUUAAUUGGAUGAGGACUCUACCAAUAUAGUUGCUACCGGCAACUGAUUUUAUUAUUUAUCUUGGUGGUAUGGAGCAAGCAUGGUGGACAAACCCUAGUGCAAAAGACAAGUGCAAGAAUUGAUAACAAUUUGUCAGCAACAAGAUUAGAAUUUGGAACACGAAACAAAGGCAAUCAAUUAUUUGCAUUCUGUUUCAAAUGCAAUCACUAUUACACGAGAGGCAAAGAGAUCCAUACUGAGACAAGCAACAGUGGAGAAUAUCCUAGUGGGUGAUUAACUGACAAUGGGGAAUGAGUUGUGCUUCUGUAUCCUCAGUGACACUGAUGACAGCAGUGACACUAAUGAACAUAGUGAACAUGUGCCUCUGCAAAAGUUCAACCAGAACAACCUGGACAGAAUACCAGAUCACAAACAAUCAAAGGUUCCUAUCAUUGAGAACACCCAGAAUGAUAAUGGAAUGGACAUCCAUAGUGACAGACCACAUGAUUUAUUCUCUCAUGACGUGACUAACAUGGAUCCUGGACUCCUAAGCUGUAGAAGUUGCUAUGAACGUUAUGGUCAAGAAGAGAGACAGCCAUUUAUUCCAGACAAAAAACACUCGUUAUGCAGUAUAUGCUAUGAUAACAUGAAAGAGGUGCAUGGUGAACCGUUCCCUUGUCACAUGUGUCAUGAUUCUAUUUAUUCAGCGCCAUGUAAGAAAAUUAAGUUCACUGAUCCAUAUGACAUUGACAUGUUAGAGCUAAUUGAGGCCUGGGAUGCCAAGCAUGGGGCCUCACAUAAGCAUGGAGCCUCACAUAAGCAUGGGGCCUCACAUAAGCAUAGGGCCUCACAUCACCACUGAGUAUGGACAACAAAGGACAAUUUCAAUUUUUAAAGUCUUUGUUAAAAUUAUUGUUAAUUGUGCAGUUAAGUGAACCAGAAACAUAUAAAAUGCUGUUAGUAUUGGUCAUCAUUAGUAAAAACUUAUUUUUCAAAAGUUUGACAUCAAACUAAUAAAAUUACACUACAGCCUA
rnacentral:misc_RNA from 1 species